AUUAACCAGGCCAAAGAUGAGAAAAUAGUCCUAUCAAGAGUAGCUGCCCAGUUAGAGCUUGGAGAACAGCAUGGGCACAGAAUAUUGAAGCCACUGGAGUAAAUGAAGCCACAUACAACAACGUUCAGAACAGACCCUUUCUUUCCCACUCCACAGUACUUCUCAGUCCUCUUCCACUUGCUGGACAGGCAGAUGUGCUGUGAACCACUGAGAUAAACCAAUAUGUAUGAGGGGAAAAAAGGCAACCACUCACUUUUCUGCAAGAUCCAUCCAUGUUUCACAUCAUAGUGUGACUGCACAAACUGAC
rnacentral:lncRNA from 1 species